CACGUAGGGGGCAAGCGUUGUCCGGAUUUAUUGGGCGUAAAGAGCUCGUAGGCGGUUCGGUAAGUCGGGUGUGAAACCUCCAGGCUCAACCUGGAGACGCCACCCGAUACUGCUGUGACUCGAGUCCGGUAGGGGAGCGUGGAAUUCCUGGUGUAGCGGUGAAAUGCGCAGAUAUCAGGAGGAACACCGGUGGCGAAGGCGGCAUCCUGGACCAACACUGACGCUGAGUGAGCGAAAGCCAGGGGAGCAAACGGG
rnacentral:rRNA from 1 species